rnacentral:rRNA from 1 species
UACGUAGGGGGCAAGCGUUGUCCGGAUUCAUUGGGCGUAAAGAGCGUGUAGGCGGCCAGGUAGGUCCGCUGUGAAAACUCGAGGCUCAACCUCGAGAUGUCGGCGGAAACCAUCUGGCUAGAGUCCGGAAGAGGAGAGUGGAAUUCCUGGUGUAGCGGUGAAAUGCGCAGAUAUCAGGAAGAACACCCGUGGCGAAGGCGGCUCUCUGGGACGGUACUGACGCUGAGACGCGAAAGCGUGGGGAGCGAACAGG